rnacentral:rRNA from 1 species
UACAGAGGGUGCGAGCGUUAAUCGGAAUUACUGGGCGUAAAGCGUGCGUAGACGGUCAUGUAAGUCGGGUGUGAAAGCCCCGGGCUCAACCUGGGAAUUGCAUUCGAGACUGCAUGGCUAGGAUGCGGAAGAGGGAAGCGGAAUUUCCGGUGUAGCGGUGAAAUGCGUAGAUAACGGAAGGAACACCAGUGGCGAAAGCGGCUUCCUGGUCCAGCAUCGACGUUCAGGCACGAAAGCGUGGGGAGCAAACAGG